UACGUAGGGGGCUAGCGUUGUCCGGAUUUAUUGGGCGUAAAGAGCGCGUAGGCGGCCAGGUAAGUCCGACGUGAAAUCUGGAGGCUCAACCUCCAGCGGUCGUUGGGAACUACUUGGCUAGAGUCCGGAAGAGGAGAGUGGAAUUCCUGGUGUAGCGGUGAAAUGCGCAGAUAUCAGGAAGAACACCGAUGGCGAAAGCAGCUCUCUGGGACGGUACUGACGCUGAGGCGCGAAAGCGUGGGGAGCGAACAGG
rnacentral:rRNA from 1 species